rnacentral:miRNA from 1 species
AGGGAAUCGGGUGGAGUGCAU